ACUAGCUAUUGAACGUUUAAUGUGAGAAAUAAAUUAUUAACGUAAAAUAUAGAUGUCACAAAACACAGUACACACAACUGGUGAGUGAGAACAAACAGGUUUAUUGAAGGGAUUCGGGAUCGGGAGUGAUCAAAAGCAGGUGAGUGAGCAAUUUAGUGUGAAGUUCAGAUUGCUUUGCUGUGGUUGAAGUUGUGUCUUUGUUUGCAGGUUCGGAUCGGGGAUCAAAGGCGUCGAGGUAGAAUCGACGAGGGAUUCAACUGGUAAGCAUUGGGUCCCCUGAUAGAGUGAACAAAGUUCUCUGCCUUAACUUGAAGACAGAAACCUUUGUCCUGAGAUAAGGCCAUGCAAACAGUCCCAGAGGCAGCGCUGACUUGUCCCAUCACUGUGCUGCUUGAGACAUCCUGGGUUUGCUGUGGAGGGACUGUAGGGAGCAGCCAAGCAUCUGGUUAAGAAUUCAAAGAACUGGCAUCAGUGACAGCUUAUCGGACUGUAACAUCUGAACCGCGCUCGGCGCGAAAUUGUCGAAUGCUAGGAAUGACAUUAUCUGGGUUUCUGCAUGCUUUCCCUUUGCCUGGAGAAUCUGAUGACAUUGUCAGCACAGGUGACCAAUCAGCAGCACAGGGACCAAAGACGAAGAAGAUAUCAGACAGCAUCAGCAGCAUUUGGAUCGCCGUCAGAGCUAAAUACCUAAACAUUAGUGCCAGUGGACGGGGAACCGAGGGUCAUUCAUUUUCAUCCUCGCUACAGUAGCAUUUUGCACAGAAA